AGCGAACGCUGGCGGCGUGCCUAACACAUGCAAGUCGAACGUGAAAGGGAGCAAUCCCAAGUAAGGUGGCGUACGGGUGAGUAACACGUAGGUAAUCUACCCCAGAAUCUGGAAUAACCGGCCGAAAGGCUGGCUAAUACUGGAUAGAGCGACGGAAUCCGCAAUUGGGUUUUUCGGGAAAGGGAGCCUGUAAAAAGGCCUUCGUCCUGGGAUGAGCCUGCGUCCCAUCAGCUAGUUGGUGAGGUAAAAGCUUACCAAGGCAAUGACGGGUAGCUGGUCUGAGAGGACGAUCAGCCACAAUGGAACUGAAACACGGUCCAGACUCCUACGGGAGGCAGCAGUGGGGAAUCUUGCGCAAUGGACGAAAGUCUGACGCAGCAACGCCGCGUGAGUGAAGAAGGCCGUCGGGUUGUAAAGCUCUGUCGAGUGGGACGAAAAUGCUUGGAGUUCACAGCUCCAGGAACUGACGGUACCACUAAAGGAAGCACCGGCUAACUCCGUG
rnacentral:rRNA from 1 species